AAGGUGCCGUUUUCCCCAUCCGGGGGUGGUUCAGCUUUAACAGGACAUGGAUGAUGCGCACAUCUUCCAUUGUGAUGCGCAAAUUGUUCUGUGGCAGUUAAAGUUGGAGCAGGGACUCAGGGUGAAGCAGUUGGCUUCGUCAGUUGGGCAGUGAAGUUGGGCAGUGAAGAGGCAACCAGCAGGUGAAUUAUUGCGUCUGUGAAAUACGCACCUGAUGUAGUUUUCUGCGUUCAGCGCAGCUGAUUCAAAUCCUCUGGAAAGCUCUGCAAUCAAGGGGCUCCAACCCCGUCCACCCUCCUACAUAUAACGUGGCAGCCUAGAUUGGAGCCUCAGUUCUUUUUCUUGCCGCAAAGCAGCACGUUCAGAUUCUCUCCUUAGGACUGAUUUUCAGGACAUUGACUUAGUUUGGACUUUGACUACGACUUGCAGAACUAAUAUAGACCAUUAUGGCUUUAGCUCGAAAGGUCUGUCACUCCUGAGGGGAGAAGCUACCUUCGGAUACCUCCCACCCACUGUGCCUCAUUUGUCGUCAACCAGACAAAACCCAGGAGUCAGGGGAACCAUUUCCAACUCUUCCCCACCUACCAGAUCCUGAGGCCACCCAAGACUCCUCAGCUCCACCAUCAUCUUUGCUGGGUGCAGAACCAGAGCUGAAGCCUCGCAAGGAUGCUAAGCACUCACCCUCUGGGUCAUGAUGUAAAGGUGUUGCGUUGAUUCUUGAAGAAAGGAAACAUUGUGGAAAAAAGGUGGAAAUACAAAGGAACCUCAUCCUGGCAAAACAGAAUGAAGAACAAAUGAAAACAAAAAGCAAAGGCAGAGGAAAAAUGAGAAGGAAGCAAGAGAGAACAGAAGCCAAAAAUAUGAAUUAGUGAAUCAGAAUGAAGGGGAGAUGGAAUACAAUCGGAAUAGGUUGCUCUCAGAGGAAAAAUGAAUAAAGAAGAAGGUGGAGGUUGACCAAAAUGUUGGCAAAAGAAGAGUAAGAAAUGAGAAAAAAAGGCAGAUUGUGAUGAAGCUGUUCAUUUAUUUGAAGAGAUGGAGAAGCCAAUGGCUGAAAACAUCUUUUCAUGCUGAUAUUUUAAUACUGGAAAACUGGCUGUUUACUCGUUGUCUGGCACUACAGGUUUCUAGAUUCCAACUGAAGCCAUGGCUGGUGGCUUUGGGGUCCCCCAUGUUCAGGAGCUCUAAGUAUUAAUGGAGAAUCCAUGCCAUCUUUGAGGGAGGCAAGAAAACACCACAGCAAGCUUGGAAUCACAGGAAGGAUUUGCAACAAACAGGUAAGGGAUUUACAGGAAGGAGCUUUUGAAGAUACAGCAUCCAAGAGUCUUUGCACAAAGUAGAAGAUUCGCAGGAAUGAUUAACAGCUACUAGCAGGCAUAUUUGAUCUACACAAUGAUUCAAAAUGUGAAGAUGCUCCUUAGGCAUUACUCAGGCCUUCCUAUUCCACUUUCUCUGGCUUCAGUCACCUAAGAAUGAAGGUAAAUCAUCAAAGGUCUGACUUGAUCCCAAGCCUUCAGCUUCUCCACCUGAAUCAUGGGGUGUAGUGGAACCCAAAUUCUAGUCGAUUCUCCACAAUCUCUGAAAAAUAUUGUUAUGGAAAGGAAGGUGCCAGGACUUUUUGACGACCAAAGAACCAAGAAAAUGGGUUCUUGUGAACACGGGAAAGUCAUGAUCCCAUGUAAGGGAUACCAGUUACAGCUUGUACUUCAGUGAAAGUCCUCCAGCAAAACAACUAGCUGAGGCCCCAACUGAAAGUGAAGGCCUCAAAGAAGUCACUGAGCUACGUAUUCUAAGAAAGUUAUUUCCUCUUUCCCUCCAGUCUCCAUUGAUUAUAAAUAUAAUGGCUUUGAUUUCUUCCCUUUGCAGCAACAGUGUUUGAUCUACAAAACUAUGCAAAGUGUGAAGACAUUGCUAAGACCAUUUUUAAAACAAGGCCCCACAGGAAGGGAACAGGAUGCCCCAAAAUGUUAGUAUGCCUUGAUCCCCAAAGCCACAGGUGUUCGGAUGGAUUCUGGACACCAUGUGCGUAUUCCCAACCAGCUUCCUUCAGGUUUAGUCCGGUCAACGGCUAUCCAUAAUGACUCUCCACAGCCAUUGAGAGCAGUUGGAUAAUGGCCAUAAUAUGGUAGAUCCUGUACUGAAGAUACCUGGGAAUAUCCGAGCAGAGUGUCCCAUCGCACACUACAAGCACAUUACACUCUUGAGGGUGAAUGGGGACAGGACCCGAACCCAGAACGUUGCAAUUUCUAUCUGAAAUAUUAGACCACAGUGGAGUUUGGCACUGAAUGGUGACGAGCAAGGUAUGAGGUGUUUGAGGAACCAGAAGAAGAAGAAGAAGAAGAAAAAGAAGGACAACAAGAAGACAAGAACAGAUGUAAAUACACAAGAAAGCUAUUCAUUUGCUCUUAUCACUGCAUGCUUUGCCAUAGGAACAUCUGUCAAAGCAGCCAUAUUCCCCACCCAGGGGUAGUUCAGGACAGCUAUGGCUUUAAGAGGACAUGGAUGAUACACCAUGUCUUCCAUUGUGAUGCACCAAUUGUUCUAUUUCAGUUAAGGCUGGAGGAAGGGACCCAGGGUGAAGCAGUUGGCUUUGUCAGUUGGGCAAUAAGAGGCAUCCAGCAGGUGGAUUAUUUUUCCUAGAUUUGUCUGGUUGUUUCCCUUUCUUCUGAAAAAAAAAGGAGAGAGGGGUCUUUCACCCUGGGAUUUUGUGUCUCGGUUGCCCAAAUGCUUUUGCCAGUUUGGGUUCCUUCAGUUUCAAGAGCGAAGGGUGGCAUUUUGCUUUUUCACUUCAAACAGCAACAUCGUGGUCACCAAAAGAGGGAGAAGAGCACUGAACACAGGAAAUGCAACAGGAGAAAGCAAGUGAAUAGAGAAGGGUAAAGCUCAAUUUUGGAGGAGACGUUGGUUUUUUUCUGGAAGAAGAGAGGUGCAGAGGAAAAAAGCAAAGGGGAUUCUGCCCACGGGAUCUAUAUCACAGCUUCUCACCUCCUGCCUAUUCGCGGUAGUUGGUUUGGUCCUAAUCUUAAUGGUUGAGUUGGAUGGAAAUAUAUCUAUGUGUUUGUCAUGUUGGUUGGAGGUCCCAGCAUUACUCAGUGUUGGAUCUGUGCCCAUAAAAAUGCUGUUGCUUCAGACGCCUCUCCGGGUCAUAAUGUGAAGAUGUCAGGUGGAUUCCUGAGAAAGGAAAUGUUUUGGAAAAGAGGUAGAAAUGGAGCCUCAUCCUAGCGGCACAGAAUGAGAAACAGAUGAAUAAAGAAGAAGGAAAGGCAGUGAAAAGGUGAGAAAGUCGGAAGGAGAAGAGCCAAAAUAUUAAUAAGCUAAUCAAAAUGAAGGGUAAAUUGAAUAAAAUAGGAAUAGUUAGGCUCAGAGGAAAGAAGAAUGGAAAAGAAGAUGGAGGUUGACAAAAAAAUGUUGGUAAAAGAAGAGGGAGAGAUGAGAAGAAAAGGCAGAUUGUGGUGAAGCUGCUCAUAAGCUGCUCAUAGAUUUGAUAAGAAGAAUCUUUUUCGCUGGCAUUUUAAAACUGGAAGGCUAUUUGGUGGUCGUCUGCUAGGACAGGUUUCUGGAUCCCAACUUCAGCCAUGGCUGGUGGCUAUGGGGUCCAGCAUGUUCAGGAGCUAAACGUAUUAAUGGUGAAUUCAUGCCAUCUUCGAGGGAGGUAAGAAAAGACCCCAGCAAGCUUGGAGAUACUUUUUUUUGUUACAUUUUUUUCUUGCUUAUGAACACCUCACCCCCAUUUGCCAUACAUGUGGAUAUAUGUAUAUCUCAAAGGAAAUGUAUUCUACUGAUAUUUCGUUGGUUUACAAUUGGCUUCUAACAGCAAGAUAUGAAGAGUUUGAGGAACCAGAAGAAGAAGAAGAAGAAGGAAGAAAAAGGAGAAAAGGAGGAGGACAGAUGCAAAUACACAAAAAAAUAACAUUCAGAUGGAAAAAACAACUAUACUUAAAUAGUAUAUAAAUAUAACUAGAACUAAAACUAAACCAAACAUUGCAAUGCACAGCUAAAGCAUUUUUCAAUGUAAGCUGUACACUUAAUGAAAACACAAAUGUCGCCGCUAACAUAACCAAAAGGUUGAAUAGUUUGUAAAAACAUGUUAUGCUAUUGUUACAGAUUAUCUAGAUUCCACAUAGCUUGAAUUCUUACAAGCCACAGCUACACAUUGUUAUAUGUCAGAAUUGCUGAAAAUAUCCAUAAACAGUCUCUAAACUUUCAAAAAUCUUGUAAAAUCCAGAUUUGUUUAGGAAUUAUUUUGAAUUUUGCAACCUUCACAACAGGUUUCCAAAGGUUACCUAUGCAAUGUUUCCAUAUGAGAUUUAUUUUCCUGAUAUGGGAACAUUUAACUUGCAAUAGAGAAACAUCCCUGGUUUAGAAUGCAUCAGUUACAUAACAACAUGUAUCAAGACACAAAGGAAUGUCAGAUGACAAAGGAUCCUUACUUGCCACCUCUUUUGCUAUACCAGAAGCACAUGGAGGUAAAACAGCAGGGGUUGGUUCGAAAGGAGCUCCCUUGGAUAAGUCAUUUGCAAGAAAGAAUAAAAAUUGGUAAGAAGACUAAAAAUGGAAACCUGAGAAUAAAAGCCAUGGAUGUGUUUCAGACAAUCAAUUCAUGGUGUUAAACCAGAAGACUGAGGACAUUAUUGAUUACAUUUUAACUGGUAGAAAUGAUAUAUCAAGAUGGUCAGCAAGAGAAAUUACUAUUUUGGUAAAGAAUGGAAUUAUUGUGGAUGGAGCUUUGGCAUAUCCUUGAAGAGACUAGAUUAGAUUUAAUUACAGUUCUGUUCAGCACGCGAGUUAAGAAGACAGAAGAAAUUAUUUGGCAGAGGUGAAUAUAAAUGAUCUUUCACACCCCCAUCUUCUCAAAUUAGUAGAGGUAAUUUCUUCGACAAUGAAUAAUUCUAUUUCUUUUUCUUUUUUCUUUGCAGAAUAGAUUUGGUACAUCUGAACAUCUUGGUUGAGCAGUGGACUUGUCUUGGCCACUGGUCAUGAUGGAGUUGGAGUGAGCUGCCUUUUUCUAAGAAAAAGCAAAGCUUCUUCCAUGUAGAGUGUAGCAGAGGAACGCUAAUUUCUUCAUGGAACAAGUUAAAAAGUCCUUCCCAUCAAAAAGAAGGUAGGAAAUGUUAUGCAUAGAAAUAGCAUUUGAUUCCGGGUUGUGAUCUUCAAAAGAGGUAAGGAAAACCCAAACUUCUGGGCAACAACGGUACCAUGUCAUUCAGUCUUUUAGCAAACUUGUUUAAGCAACCAAUGUCCAACAUAGCAAAUUGCAAAUCCAGAGUUUAAAGGGCCAUAGAAAUUAUGAGAAACAUAGAGGAUGUUUUGUAUUAUUAUUCUACCCCACCAACUGGUCAGACCACCAACUCUGAAGGAUUGAUCCCAGCAUUCAACUGAGGGUCAAUCAGAGCUAUUAUCCACAAUUUGAGGCACUCUGGGUUGUGUUUUUUUUCUGAAGGACUUGAAGAUAUUUUUUUUGAUGGACUUCAAUCAUAUUGUGAGUCUCAGCAAUAAAUGUCCCAUUGCAUCAAAAGGGUUUAUCUAUGUGUGAUAUCAAGUGUGACUCCCUAAAAUCUCAACCUUUCUUCUUCUCUCACCCAGGCCAUCCCUGCACAGGGGACUCCCAGCCUCCCAAAUUCCUCCACCUCUUCCUCUAACUGUAGCUCAUGCAGUUAUAGUAGAAAGCUAGAUCCCCACUGGCCUCAAUUUCACUCCCAGGUCCUCCCAUCUCCUUUUUCCUGAGUGCAUGUGUGCAAAUGUUUUAGAGAAUCCACUAACCACUUUUAAAUACUGAGGGGGGCGCUCCUGGCACAGCUCAAGAAGAUCACUAACAACUGAUCCUGAGGACUGGACCCAAGCCAUCCUGUUGAAGACAUCAGCCCUUCACCAUCUCCACCUUCAUCCUCCAUUACCCACGAAUCCAUAACAUACGACCCCUGUAAGAACAUAAGCUGUGCCAAGGGGACUUCCAGAACUAACAAGGUAUGAAAGAUGUUACUUCUCUCCCCCUUCCCAAACUUCUCCCUCCUCACCUAGGGCCAAGGAGGGAUGCGGGAGGGGGGAACCUAUAAUCUCUCUUUCUGGUCCCACUAGGCACUCUCUAUCAAAUGCUUCUGUCCCCCCUGGGUUUCCGUCUCGGCGGAGUGCUGGACCUGUGUGCAGUCACAAGGUGGUGCCAUGCUGACAGAAGAGUGGCAGGAGCUGUGCCCAAUCUUUCUCCUCCCCAACUGCCAGCUGCCUAUGGGAGGCCACACUAUAGCCAGAAGCAGGCAGCACCCCCAGAAGACCGGACAAACUAAGCUAAAUGGGAGAACAACACUACAACCUGUUAUGAAGACAGCCUUGAGACCCUCCGUACACCGCAAGAUUCCUCUCAAGCCCUUCACCAUCUCCACUUUCAUCCUCCAUUUUCCACGACUCCAGAACAUAAGACCCCUGCUUCGCCAUCGUAUGAUCACCCGCUAUGUGCUGGCAGCCCGAGCCAAACUGGACUUCAACAAACUGUUUUCCCCUCUUGAGGCUGCUGCUUUCGACCGAAGCAAAACUACAACAAUCUGGUUCCACUUGUGAUAUAGAGCUUGACCCCCCCAAUAGCUCAACCUUUCUUCUAGCUCUUAUCCCCAUGCUUUCAAAACUUCUCCCCCCUGCAAAGAGGACACCAGUCUCCUAGAAGAAGUCCGUGGAGGAGCAAGCAGGAUCUUGCCAAUGGACACCAUGGAAAACCUGCCCUGCCCUCGCCAGAGCUGUGCCAAGGGGACUUCCAGAACUCAUAAGGUAUGAAAGAUGCUACUUCUCUCCCCCUUCCCAAACUUCUCCCUCCUCACCUAGGGCCAAGGAGGGAUGGGGGAGGGGGGAACGUAUAAUCUCUCUUUCUGGUCCCACUAGGCACUCUUUAUCCCAUGCUUCCGUCUCCCCUGGGUUUCCGUCUUGGGGGAGAGCUGGACCUGUGUGCAGUCACAAGGUGCUGCCGAGCUGAGAGAAGAGUUGCAGAAGCUGUGCCCAGUCUUUCUCCUCCCCAACUGCCAGCUGCCUAGGGGAGACCACACUAUAGCCAGAAGCAGGCAGCACCCCCUGCAGACCGGACAGACUAAGCUAAAUGGGAGAACAAUACUACAACCUGUUAUGAAGACAGCCCUGGGACCUUCCGUACACCGAAAGCAUCAUCUCUAGCCCUUCACCAUCUCCACCUUCAUCCUCCAUUUCCCACGACUCCAGAACAUAAGACCCCUGCUUCGCCAUCGUAUGAUCACCCGCUAUGUGCUGGCAGCCCGAGCCAAACUGGACUUCAACAAACUGUUUUCACCUCUUGAGGCUCCUGCUUUCAACCGAAGCAAAACUACAGCAAUCUGGUUCCACUUGUGAUAUUGAGCUUGACCCCCUAAUAGCUCAACCUUUUUUCUAGCACUUAUCCCCAUGCUUUCAAAACUUCGCCCCCCUGCAAAGGGGACCCCAAUCUCCUAGAAGACGCCUCAGGAGGAGCAAGCAGGAUCUUGCCAAUGGCCACCAUGGAAAAGCUGCCCUGCCCUCACAAGAGCUGUGCCAAGUGGACUUCCAGAACUUAUAAGGUAUGAAAGAUGCCACUUCUCUCCCCUUCCCAAACUUCUCCCUCCUCACCUAGGGCCAAGGAGGGAUGAGGGAGGGGGGAACCUAUGAUCUCUCUUUCUGGUCCCACUAGGCACUCUUUAUCCCAUGCUUCUGUCUCCCCUGGGUUUCCGUCUUGGGGGAGAACUGGACCUGUGUGCAGUCACAAGGUGCUGUCGAGCUGAGAGAAGAGUUGCAGAAUCAGUGCCCAGUCUUUCAACUCCACAAUUGCCAGCUGCCCAGGGGAGGCCAAAUACCGCCAGAAACAGGCAGCACCCCCAGAAGACCGGACAGACUAAGCUAAAUGGGAGAACAAUACUACAACCUGUCAUGAAGACAGCCCUGGGGCCCUCUGCACACCGCAAGCAUCACCUCCAGCCCUUCACCAUCUCCACCUUCAUCCUCCAUUUCCCACGACUCCAGAACAUAAGACCCCUGUUUCACCAUCGUAUGAUCACCCGCUAUGUGCUGGCAGCCCGAGCCAAACUGGACUUCAACAAACUGUUUUCACCUUUUGAGGCUCCUGCUUUCGACCGAAGCAAAACUACAACAAUCUGGUUCCACUUGUGAUAUAGAGCUUGACCCCCUAAUAGCUCAACCUUUCCUCUAGCUCUUAUCCCCAUGCUUUCAAAACUUCUCCCCCCUGCAAGGAGGACACCAGUCUCCUAGAAGACAUCCCAGGAGGAGCAAGCAGGAUCUUGCCAAUGGCCACCAUGGAAAAGCUGUCCUGCCCUCGCCAGAGCUGUGCCAAGGGGGCUUCCAGAACUCACUAGGUAUGAAAGAUGCUACUUCCCCUUCCCAAACUUCUCCCUCCUCACCUAGGGCCAAGGAGGGAUGCGGGAGGUGGGAACCUAUAAUCUCUCUUUCUGGUCCCACUAGGCACUCUCUAUCAAAUGCUUCUGUCCCCCCUGGGUUUCCGUCUCGGCGGAGUGCUGGACCUGUGUGCAGUCACAAGGUGGUGCCAUGCUGACAGAAGAGUGGCAGGAGCUGUGCCCAAUCUUUCUCCUCCCCAACUGCCAGCUGCCUAGGGGAGGCCACACUAUAGCCAGAAGCAGGCAGCACCCCCAGAAGACCGGACAAACUAAGCUAAAUGGGAGAACAACACUACAACCUGUUAUGAAGACAGCCUUGAGACCCUCCGUACACCGCAAGAUUCCUCUCAAGCCCUUCACCAUCUCCACUUUCAUCCUCCAUUUUCCACGACUCCAGAACAUAAGACCCCUGCUUCGCCAUCGUAUGAUCACCCGCUAUGUGCUGGCAGCCCCAACCAAACUGGACUUCAACAAACUGUUUUCACCUUUUGAGGCUCCUGCUUUCGACCGAAGCAAAAAUACAACAAUCUGAUUCCACUUGUGAUAUAGAGCUUGACCCCCUAAUAGCCCAACCUUUCUUCUAGCUCUUAUCCCCAUGCUUUCAAAACUUCUCCCCCCUGCAAAGAGGACACCAGUCUCCUAGAAGACGUCCCUGGAGGAGCAAGCAGGAUCUUGCCAAUGGCCACCAUGGAAAAGCUGUCCUGCCCUCGCCAGAGCUGUGCCAAGGGGACUUCCAGAACUCACUAGGUAUGAAGGAUGCCACUUCGCUCCCCCUUCCCAAACUUCUCCCUCCUCACCUAGGGCCAAGGAGGGAUGGGGGAGGGGGGAACCUAUGAUCUCUCUUUCUGGUCUCACUAGGCACUUUUUAUCCCAUGCUUCCGUCUCCCCUGGGUUUCCGUCUUGGGGGAGAGCUGGACCUGUGUGCAGUCACAAGGUGCUGUCGAGCUGAGAGAAGAGUUGCAGAAGCUGUGCCCAGUCUUUCUCCUCCACAAUUGCCAGCUGCCUAGGGGAGGCCAAAUACCGCCAGAAAUAGGCAGCACCCCCAGAAGACCGGACAAACUAAGCUAAAUGGGAGAACAAUACUACAACCUGUCAUGAAGACAGCCCUGGGACCCUCUGCACACCGCAAGCAUCAUCUCCAGCCCUUCACCAUCUCCACAUUCAUCCUCCAUUUACCACGACUCCAGAACAUAAAACCCUUGCUUCGCCAUCGUAUGAUCACCCGCUAUGUGCUGGCAGCCCCAACCAAACUGGACUUCAACAAACUGUUUUCACCUUUUGAGGCUCCUGCUUUCGACCGAAGCAAAACUACAACAAUCUGAUUCCACUUGUAAUAUAGAGUUUGACCCCCUAAUAGCCCAACCUUUCUUCUAGCACUUAUCCCCAUGCUUUCAAAUCUUGUCCCCCCUGCAAAGAGGACACCAGUCUCCUAGAAGACGUCCCAGGAGGAGGAAGCAGGAUCUUGCCAAUGGCCACCAUGGAAAAGCUGUCCAGCCCUCGCCAGAGCUGUGCCAAGGGGGCUUCCAGAACUCACUAGGUAUGAAGGAUGCCACUUUUUUCCCCCUUCCCAAACUUCCCCCUCCUCACCUAGGGCCAAGGAGGGAUGAGGGAGGGGGGAACCUAUGAUCUCUCUUUCUGGUCCCACUAGGCACUCUUUAUCCCAUGCUUCCGUCUCCCCUGGGUUUCCGUCUCGGGGGAGAGCUGGACCUGUGUGCAGUCACAAGGUGCUGCCGAGCUGAGAGAAGAGUUGCAGAAGCUGUGCCCAGUCUUUCUCCUCCCUAACUGCCAGCUGCCUAGGGGAGACCACACUAUAGCCAGAAGCAGGCAGCACCCCCUGAAGACCGGACAGACUAAGCUAAAUGGGAGAACAAUACAACAACCUGUCAUGAAGACAGCCCUGGGACCCUCUGCACAUCGCAAGCAUCAUCUCCAGCCUUUCACCAUCUCCACCUUCAUCCUCCAUUUCCCACGACUCCAGAACAUAAGACCCCUGCUUCGCCAUCGUAUGAUCACCCGCUAUGUGCUGGCAGCCCCAGCCAAACUGGACUUCAACAAACUGUUUUCCCCUCUUGAGGCUCCUGCUUUCAACCGAAGCAAAACUACAACAAUCUGGUUCCACUUGUGAUAUAGAGCUUGACCCCCCCAAUAGCUCAACCUUUCUUCUAGCUCUUAUCCCCAUGCUUUCAAAACUUCUCCCCCCUGCAAAGAGGACACCAGUCUCCUAGAAGAAGUCCGUGGAGGAGCAAGCAGGAUCUUGCCAAUGGCCACCAUGGAAAACCUGCCCUGCCCUCGCCAGAGCUGUGCCAAGGGGACUUCCAGAACUCAUAAGGUAUGAAAGAUGCUACUUCCCCUUCCCAAACUUCUCCCUCCUCACCUAGGGCCAAGGAGGGAUGGGGGAGGGGGGAACGUAUAAUCUCUCUUUCUGGUCCCACUAGGCACUCUUUAUCCCAUGCUUCCAUCUCCCCUGGGUUUCCGUCUCGGGGGAGUGCUGGACCUGUGUGCAGUCACAAGGUGCUGCCGAGCUGAGAGAAGAGUUGCAGAAGCUGUGCCCAGUCUUUCUCCUCCCCAACUGCCAGCUGCCUAGGGGAGACCACACUAUAGUCAGAAGCAGGCAGCACCCCCUGCAGACCGGACAGACUAAGCUAAAUGGGAGAACAAUACUACAACCUGUUAUGAAGACAGCCCUGGGACCUUCCGUACACCGCAAGCAUCAUCUCUAGCCCUUCACCAUCUCCACCUUCAUCCUCCAUUUCCCUCGACUCCAGAACAUAAGACCCCUGCUUCGCCAUCGUAUGAUCACCCGCUAUGUGCUGGCAGCCCGAGCCAAACUGGACUUCAACAAACUGUUUUCACCUCUUGAGGCUCCUGCUUUCAACUGAAGCAAAACUACAGCAAUCUGGUUCCACUUGUGAUAUUGAGCUUGACCCCCUAAUAGCUCAACCUUUUUUCUAGCACUUAUCCCCAUGCUUUCAAAACUUCGCCCCCCUGCAAAGGGGACACCAGUCUCCUAGAAGACGUCCCUGGAGGAGCAAGCAGGAUCUUGCCAAUGGCCACCAUGGAAAAGCUGUCCUGCCCUCGCCAGAGCUGUGCCAAGGGGGCUUCCAGAACUCACUAGGUAUGAAGGAUGCCACUUCGCUCCCCCUUCCCAAACUUCUCCCUCCUCACCUAGGGACAAGGAGGGAUGGGGGAGGGGGGAACCUAUGAUCUCUCUUUCUGGUCCCACUAGGCACUCUUUAUCCCAUGCUUCCGUCUCCCCUGGGUUUCCGUCUUGGGGGAGAGCUGGACCUGUGUGCAGUCACAAGGUGCUGCCGAGCUGAGAGAAGAGUUGCAGAAGCUGUGCCCAGUCUUUCUCCUCCCCAACUGCCAGCUGCCUAGGGGAGACCACACUAUAGCCAGAAGCAGGCAGCACCCCCUGCAGACCGGACAGACUAAGCUAAAUGGGAGAACAAUACUACAACCUGUUAUGAAGACAGCCCUGGGACCUUCCGUACACCGAAAGCAUCAUCUCUAGCCCUUCACCAUCUCCACCUUCAUCCUCCAUUUCCCACGACUCCAGAACAUAAGACCCCUGCUUCGCCAUCGUAUGAUCACCCGCUAUGUGCUGGCAGCCCGAGCCAAACUGGACUUCAACAAACUGUUUCCACCUCUUGAGGCUCCUGCUUUCAACCGAAGCAAAACUACAGCAAUCUGGUUCCACUUGUGAUAUUGAGCUUGACCCCCUAAUAGCUCAACCUUUUUUCUAGCACUUAUCCCCAUGCUUUCAAAACUUCGCCCCCCUGAAAAGGGGACCCCAGUCUCCUAGAAGACGCCUCAGGAGGAGCAAGCAGGAUCUUGCCAAUGGCCACCAUGGAAAAGCUGUCCUGCCCUCACAAGAGCUGUGCCAAGUGGACUUCCAGAACUUAUAAGGUAUGAAAGAUGCCACUUCUCUCCCCUUCCCAAACUUCUCCCUCCUCACCUAGGGCCAAGGAGGGAUGAGGGAGGGGGGGAACCUAUGAUCUCUCUUUCUGGUCCCACUAGGCACUCUUUAUCCCAUGCUUCCGUCUCCCCUGGGUUUCCGUCUCGGGGGAGUGCUGGACCUGUGUGCAGUCACAAGGUGCUGCCGAGCUGAGAGAAGAGUUGCAGAAGCUGUGCCCAGUCUUUCUCCUCCCUAACUGCCAGCUGCCUAGGGGAGACCACACUAUAGCCAGAAGCAGGCAGCACCCCCUGAAUACCGGACAGACUAAGCUAAAUGGGAGAACAAUACUACAACCUGUUAUGAAGAUAGCCCUGGGACCCUCUGCACAUCGCAAGCAUCAUCUCCAGCCUUUCACCAUCUCCACCUUCAUCCUCCAUUUCCCACGACUCCAGAACAUAAGACCCCUGCUUCGCCAUCGUAUGAUCACCCGCUAUGUGCUGGCAGCCCCAGCCAAACUGGACUUCAACAAACUGUUUUCCCCUCUUGAGGCUCCUGCUUUCGACCGAAGCAAAACUACAACAAUCUGGUUCCACUUGUGAUGUUGAGCUUGACCCCCUAAUAGCUCAACCUUUUUUCUAGCACUUAUCCCCAUGCUUUCAAAACUUCGCCCCCCUGCAAAGGGGACACCAGUCUCCUAGAAGACGUCCCUGGAGGAGCAAGCAGGAUCUUGCCAAUGGCCACCAUGGAAAAGCUGUCCUGCCCUCGCCAGAGCUGUGCCAAGGGGGCUUCCAGAACACACUAGGUAUGAAGGAUGCCACUUCGCUCCCCCUUCCCAAACUUCUCCCUCCUCACCUAGGGCCAAGGAGGGAUGGGGGAGGGGGGAACCUAUGAUCUCUCUUUCUGGUCCCACUAGGCACUCUUUAUCCCAUGCUUCCGUCUCCCCUGGGUUUCCGUCUUGGGGGAGAGCUGGACCUGUGUGCAGUCACAAGGUGGUGCCGAGCUGAGAGAAGAGUUGCAGAAGCUGUGCCCAGUCUUUCUCCUCCCUAACUGCCAGCUGCCUAGGGGAGACCACACUAUAGCCAGAAGCAGGCAGCACCCCCUGAAGACCGGACAGACUAAGCUAAAUGGGAGAACAAUACUACAACCUGUCAUGAAGACAGCCCUGGGACCUUCCGUACACCGCAAGCAUCAUCUCUAGCCCUUCACCAUCUGCACCUUCAUCCUCCAUUUCCCACGACUCCAGAACAUAAGACCCCUGCUUCGCCAUCGUAUGAUCACCCGCUAUGUGCUGGCAGCCCCAACCAAACUGGACUUCUACAAACUGUUUUCAGCUUUUGAGGCUCCUGCUUUCGACCGAAGCAAAACUAUAACAAUCUGGUUCCACUUGUGAUAUUGAGCUUGACCCCCUAAUAGCUCAACCUUUCUUCUAGCUCUUAUCCCCAUGCUUUCAAAACUUCUCCCCCCUGCAAAGAGGACACCAGUCUCCUAGAAGAAGUCCGUGGAGGAGCAAGCAGGAUCUAGCCAAUGGCUACCAUGGAAAAGCUGCCCUGUCCUCGCCAGAGCUGUGCCAAGGGGACUUCCAGAACUCAUAAGGUAUGAAAGAUGCUACUUCUCUCCCCCUUCCCAAACUUCUCCCUCCUCACCUAGGGCCAAGGAGGGAUGGGGGAGGGGGGAACGUAUAAUCUCUCUUUCUGUUCCCACUAGGCACUCUUUAUCCCAUGCUUCCGUCUCCCCUGGGUUUCCGUCUCGGGGAGUGCUGGACCUGUGUGCAGUCACAAGGUGGUGCCAUGCUGAGAGAACUUUGGCAGAAGCUGUGCCCAGUCUUUCUCCUCCCCAACUGCCAGCUGUCUAGGGGAGACCACACUAUAGCCAGAAGCAGGCAGCACCCCCUGAAGACCGGACAGACUAAGCUAAAUGGGAGAACAAUACUACAACCUGUCAUGAAGACAGGCCUGGGGCCCUCUGCACACCGCAAGCAUCAUCUACAGCCCUUCACCAUCUCCACCUUCAUCCUCCAUUUCCCACGACUCCAGAACAUAAGACCCCUGCUUCGCCAUCGUAUGAUCACCCGCUAUGUGCUGGCAGCCCCAACCAAACUGGACUUCAACAAACUGUUUUCACCUUUUGAGACUCCUGCUUUCGACCGAAGCAAAACUACAACAAUCUGGUUCCACUUGUGAUAUAGAGCUUGACCCCCCUAAUAACUCAACCUUUCUUCUAGCUCUUAUCCCCAUGCUUUCAAAACUUCUCCCCCCUGCAAAGAGGACACCAGUCUCCUAGAAGAAGUCCGUGGAGGAGCAAGCAGGAUCUUGCCAAUGGCCACCAUGGAAAAGCUGCCCUGCCCUCGCCAGAGCUGUGCCAAGGGGAAUUCCAGAACUCAUAAGGUAUGAACGAUGCUACUUCUCUCCCCUUCCCAAACUUCUCCCUCCUCACCUAGGGCCAAGGAGGGAUGGGGGAGGGGGGAAUGUAUAAUCUCUCUUUCUGGUCCCACUAGGCACUCUUUAUCCCAUGCUUCCGUCUCCCCUGGGUUUCCGUCUUGGGGAGAGCUGGACCUGUGAGCAGUCGCAAGGUGCUGCCGAGCUGAGAGAAGAGUUGCAGAAGCUGUGCCCAGUCUUUCUCCUCCCCAACUGCCAGCUGCCCAGGGGAGGCCAAACUACCGCCAGAAACAGGCAGCACCCCCAGAAGACCGGACAGACUAAGCUAAAUGGGAAAACAAUAUUACAACCUGUCAUGAAGACAGACCUGGGGCCCUCUGCACACCGCAAGCAUCAUCUCCAGCCCUUCACCAUCUCCACCUUCAUCCUCCAUUUCCCACGACUCCAGAACAUAAGACCCUUGCUUCGCCAUCGUAUGAUCACCCGCUAUGUGCUGGCAGCCCCAACCAAAAUGGACUUCAACAAACUGUUUUCACCUUUUGAGGCUCCUGCUUUCGACCGAAGCAAAACUACAACAAUCUGGUUCCACUUGUGAUAUAGAGCUUGACCCCCUAAUAGCCCAACCUUUCCUCUAGCUCUUAUCCCCAUGCUUUCAAAACUUCUCCCAGCUGCAAGGAGGACACCAGUCUCCUAGAAGACGUCCCUGGAGGAGCAAGCAGGAUCUUGCCAAUGGCCACCAUGGAAAAGCUGUCCUGCCCUCGCCAGAGCUGUGCCAAGGGGGCUUCCAGAACACACUAGGUAUGAAGGAUGCCACUUCGCUCCCCCUUCCCAAACUUCUCCCUCCUCACCUAGGGCCAAGGAGGGAUGAGGAAGGGGGGAACCUAUGAUCUCUCUUUCUGGUCCCACUAGGCACUCUUUAUCCCAUGCUUCCGUCUCCCCUGGGUUUCCGUCUUGGGGGAGAGCUGGACCUGUGUGCAGUCACAAGGUGCUGUCGAGCUGAGAGAAGAGUUGCAGAAGCUGUGCCCAGUCUUUCUCCUCCCCAACUGCCAGCUGCCCAGGGGAGGCCAAACUACCGCCGGAAACAGGCAUCGCCCCCAGAAGACCGGACAGACUAAGCUAAAUGGGAGAAUAAUACUACAACCUGUCAUGAAGACAGCCCUGGGACCCUCUGCACAUCGCAAGCAUCAUCUCCAGCCCUUCACCAUCUCCACCUUCAUCCUCCAUUUCCCACGACUCCAGAACAUAAGACCCUUGCUUCGCCAUCGUAUGAUCACCCGCUAUGUGCUGGCAGCCCCAACCAAAAUGGACUUCAACAAACUGUUUUCACCUUUUGAGGCUCCUGCUUUCGACCGAAGCAAAACUACAACAAUCUGGUUCCACUUGUGAUAUAGAGCUUGACCCCCCCAAUAGCUCAACCUUUCUUCUAGCUCUUAUCCCCAUGCUUUCAAAACUUCUCCCCCCUGCAAAGAGGACACCAGUCUCCUAGAAGAAGUCCGUGGAGGAGCAAGCAGGAUCUUGCCAAUGGCCACCAUGGAAAACCUGCCCUGCCCUCGCCAGAGCUGUGCCAAGGGGACUUCCAGAACUCAUAAGGUAUGAAAGAUGCUACUUCCACUUCCCAAACUUCUCCCUCCUCACCUAGGGCCAAGGAGGGAUGGGGGAGGGGGGAACGUAUAAUCUCUCUUUCUGGUCCCACUAGGCACUCUUUAUCCCAUGCUUCCGUCUCCCCUGGGUUUCCGUCUCGGGGGAGUGCUGGACCUGUGUGCAGUCACAAGGUGGUGCCGAGCUGAGAGAAGAGUUGCAGAAGCUGUGCCCAGUCUUUCUCCUCCCUAACUGCCAGCUGCCUAGGGGAGACCACACUAUAGCCAGAAGCAGGCAGCACCCCCUGAAGACCGGACAGACUAAGCUAAAUGGGAGAACAAUACUACAACCUGUCAUGAAGACAGCCCUGGGACCUUCCGUACACCGCAAGCAUCAUCUCUAGCCCUUCACCAUCUGCACCUUCAUCCUCCAUUUCCCACGACUCCAGAACAUAAGACCCCUGCUUCGCCAUCGUAUGAUCACCCGCUAUGUGCUGGCAGCCCCAACCAAACUGGACUUCUACAAACUGUUUUCAGCUUUUGAGGCUCCUGCUUUCGACCGAAGCAAAACUACAACAAUCUGGUUCCACUUGUGAUAUUGAGCUUGACCCCCUAAUAGCUCAACCUUUCUUCUAGCUCUUAUCCCCAUGCUUUCAAAACUUCUCCCCCCUGCAAAGAGGACACCAGUCUCCUAGAAGAAGUCCGUGGAGGAGCAAGCAGGAUCUAGCCAAUAGCUACCAUGGAAAAGCUGCCCUGCCCUCGCCAGAGCUGUGCCAAGGGGACUUCCAGAACUCAUAAGGUAUGAAAGAUGCUACUUCUCUCCCCCUUCCCAAACUUCUCCCUCCUCACCUAGGGCCAAGGAGGGAUGGGGGAGGGGGGAACGUAUAAUCUCUCUUUCUGUUCCCACUAGGCACUCUUUAUCCCAUGCUUCCGUCUCCCCUGGGUUUCCGUCUCGGGGAGUGCUGGACCUGUGUGCAGUCACAAGGUGGUACUAUACAAAGUCCCAGAAUACUUGUAGAGUAUCUAUACACACAAACGAACGAUUGUCAAAAAGUUGCUGUAUAUUUGAUUGAAGAAAAUAAUGAUGGAGCACCGCUCUCAAAAAAGUCUUCAAAAGUAAAGUACAAAUAAAGUCCCAAUUCUCUACAGGGGUCCCGGGUAUUUUUGACCCUGUUUCAGGGGAAAACCCCUUCUUCAGGAGUUGUUAAACUCAGCAACAAUGAAUUUCUAUAUAGUGCUAAAUGCUUUCACUGAGUGACUCUGCUUGUGGUGAUUUCAACUGCGAGUCUUUCUCCUCCACAAUUGCCAGCUGCCUAGGGGAGACCACACUAUAGCCAGAAGCAGGCAGCACCCCCUGAAGACCGGACAGACUAAGCUAAAUGGGAGAACAAUACUACAACCUGUUAUGAAGACAGCCCUGGGACCUUCCGUACACCGCAAGCAUCAUCUCCAGCCCUUCACCAUCUCCACCUUCAUCCUCCAUUUCCCACGACUCCAGAACAUAAGACCCCUGCUUCGCCAUCGUAUGAUCACCCGCUAUGUGCUGGCAGGCCCAGCCAAACUGGACUUCAACAAACUGUUUUCACCUCUUGAGGCUCCUGCUUUCAACCGAAGCAAAACUACAGCAAGCUGGUUCCACUUGUGAUAUUGAGCUUGACCCCCUAAUAGCUCAACCUUUUUUCUAGCACUUAUCCCCAUGCUUUCAAAACUUGGCCCCCCUGCAAAGGGGACCCCAGUCUCCUAGAAGACGCCUCAGGAGGAGCAAGCAGGAUUUUGCCAAUGGCCACCAUGGAAAAGCUGCCCUGCCCUUGCCAGAGCUGUGCCAAGGGGACUUCCAGAACUUAUAAGGUAUGAAAGAUGCCACUUCUCUCCCCUUCCCAAACUUCUCCCUCCUCACCAAGGGCCAAGGAGGAAUGAGGGAGGGGGGAACCUAUAUUCUCUCGUUCUGGUCCUACUAGGCACUCUUUAUCCCAUGCUUCCGUCUCCCCUGGGUUUCCGUCUUGGGGGAGAGCUGGACCUGUGUGCAGUCACAAGGUGCUGUCGAGCUGAGAGAAGAGUUGCAGAAGCUUGUGCCCAGUCUUUCUCCUCCACAAUUGCCAGCUGCCCAGGGGAGGCCAAAUACCGCCAGAAACAGGCAGCACCCGAAGAAGACCGGACAGACUAAGCUAAAUGGGAGAACAAUACUACAACCUGUCAUGAAGACAGCCCUGGGGCCCUCUGCACACCGCAAGCAUCAUCUCCAGCCCUUCACCAUCUCCACAUUCAUCCUCCAUUUUCCACGACUCCAGAACAUAAGACCCCUGCUUCGCCAUCGUAUGAUCACCCGCUAUGUGCUGGCAGCCCGAGCCAAACUGGACUUCAACAAACUGUUUUCACCUCUUGAGGCUCCUGCUUUCAACCGAAGUAAAACUACAGCAAUCUGGUUCCACUUGUGAUAUUGAGCUUGACCCCCUAAUAGCUCAACUUUUUUUUCUAGCACUUAUCCCCAUGCUUUCAAAACUUCGCCCCCCUGCAAAGGGGACCCCAGUCUCCUAGAAGACACCUCAGGAGGAGCAAGCAGGAUCUUGCCAAUGGCCACCAUGGAAAAGCUGCCCUGCCCUCACCAGAGCUGUGCCAAGGGGACUUCCAGAACUUAUAAGGUAUGAAAGAUGCCACUUCUCUCCCCUUCCCAAACUUCUCCCUCCUCACCUAGGGCCAAGGAGGGAUGAGGGAGGGGGGAACCUAUGAUCUCUCUUUCUGGUCCCACUAGGCACUCUUUAUCCCAUGCUUCCGUCUCCCCUGGGUUUCCGUCUUGGGGGAGAACUGGACCUGUGUGCAGUCACAAGGUGCUGUCGAGCUGAGAGAAGAGUUGCAGAAGCUGUGCCCAGUCUUUCUCCUCCACAAUUGCCUAGCUCUUAUCCCCAUCCUUUCAAAACGUCUCCCCCCUGCAAAGAGGACACCAGUCUCCUAGAAGAAGUCUGUGGAGGAGCAAGCAGGAUCUAGCCUGUGGCCACCAUGGAAAAGCUGCCCUGCCCUCGCCAGAGCUGUGCCAAGGGGACUUCCAGAACUCAUAAGGUAUGAAAGAUGCUACUUCUCUCCCCCUUCCCAAACUUCUCCCUCCUCACCUAGGGCCAAGGAGGGAUGGGGGAGGGGGGAAUGUAUAAUCUCUCUUUCUGGUCCCACUAGGCACUCUUUAUCCCAUGCUUCCGUCUCCCCUGGGUUUCUGUCUCGGGGAGUGCUGGACCUGUGUGCAGUCACAAGGUGGUGCCAUGCUGAGAGAACUUUGGCAGAAGCUGUGCCCAGUCUUUCUCCUCCCCAACUGCCAGCUGCCCAAGGGAGGCCAAACUACCGCCAGAAACAGGCAGCACCCCCAGAAGACCGGACAGACUAAGCUAAAUGGGAAAACAAUAUUACAACCUGUCAUGAAGACAGACCUGGGGCCCUCCGCACACCGCAAGCAUCAUCUCCAGCCCUUCACUAUCUCCACCUUCAUCCUCCAUUUCCCACGACUCCAGAACAUAAGACCCCUGCUUCGCCAUCGUAUGAUCACCCGCUAUGUGCUGGCAGCCCCAACCAAACUGGACUUCAACAAACUGGGCCAAGGAAGGAUGGGGGAGGGGGGAACUCUUUCUUGGUCCCACUAGUCACUCUUUAUCCCAUGAUUCCGUCUCCCCUGGGUUUUCCUCCCGGGCGAGUGCUGAACCUGUGUGCAGUCACAAGGUGGUGCCGUGCUGUGAGAACUUUGCCAGAAGCUGUGCCCAGUCUUUCUCCUCACUAAUUGCCAGCUAUAUGGGAGAACAAUACCACUACCUGCCAUGAAGCCAGCCCUGGGGCCCUCUGCACACCGCAAGCAUCAUCUCAAGCCCUUCACCAUCUCCACCUUCAUCCUCCAUUUCCCAUGACUCCAGACCAUAAGACCCCUCCUUCACCAUCAUAUGAUCACUCACCAUGUGAUGGCAGCCCCAACAAAACUGGACUUCAACAAACUGUUUUCACCUCUUGAGGCUCCUGUCUUCCACCAAAGCAAAACCGGAACACUUUUGUUCCACUUUAUGCACUUUGUUGGUCCUUGUUGCUGCAAAAUUACAUCGUUUAAAUUAGGCCCCAAGGACUUAGUAUCCGUGUUCUGGGGUUCCACUAUUCACGGUUCGGAUCUCAUUAUCCAUGGCUGGUUCAAUUUGCUCUAUUUCACAUGUUGAUUCACAUUUUAACAGAGGCUGAUGACAAUUAUGAUGGUGAUGGUGGUGAUUUGCAUAUCCAUCAUAGGCUUGAUACCUUAUAUUUGAUAUCAGCGUGAUAUAGGGAAAGAGGUUCUUACUAGAGAAGGUUGAAGGUGAAAAAGACAAAAGAAGAUGAAAUUAGCCAAGAAGAUAGAACUUCCAGAAACAGAAGAAAGUUUUGGAUCUGGCCAUGAUCUGAUGCCUUCCACAAAGAAUCAUCUGAAGAUCCAAUCCAGCUAUUUGUUUAUUUUUUAAACUGGGGAGGAGAGAGGACCCAAACUGAUGUGGCAGAAAUGGGCAUCAGGAUGUCCUCUCUGAAUCUUGAGGGACAAGGGAGGAAGUAUAGCCUCCUUAGCAAUGAUGUAUCUGAUGUGUGAUCUUUGCUGAUAUGCCCAGGGUAGGACUGACUGCCACUUUUGGGGUCGGGAAGGAAUUUUCCUCCAGGGUAGAUUGGCCAGAGAUCCUGGAGGUUUUUCGCCUUCCUCUGGGCAUCCAGCAGGGACCACUAGUUAGGAAUUAUAUUAAUCGUAUCACUUUUGAAACUUGCCAAGCUGAACUUGGCAAAGAGAUAAUGCAAGAUUAAUAAAAGUCACAACCAUAGA